UACGGAAGGCAGCAGUGGGGAAUAUUGCACAAUGGGCGCAAGCCUGAUGCAGCCAUGCCGCGUGUAUGAAGAAGGCCUUCGGGUUGUAAAGUACUUUCAGUCGUGAGGAAGGUGUUAAGGUUAAUAACCUUAGCAAUUGACGUUAGCGACAGAAGAAGCACCGGCUAACUCCGUGCCAGCAGCCGCGGUAAUACGGAGGGUGCGAGCGUUAAUCGGAAUUACUGGGCGUAAAGGGCACGCAGGCGGUUAAUUAAGUUGGAUGUGAAAUCCCCGGGCUUAACCUGGGAAUGGCAUUCAAGCUGGUUAGCUAGAGUCUUGUAGAGGGGGUAGAAUUCCAUGUGUAGCGGUGAAAUGCGUAGAGAUGUGGAGGAAUACCGGUGGCGAAGGCGGCCCCUGGACAAAGGACUGACGCUCAUGUGCGAAAGCGUGGGGAGCAAACGAGGGAUUAGAUACC
rnacentral:rRNA from 1 species